rnacentral:rRNA from 1 species
GAUGAACGCUGGCGGCGUGCCUAAUACAUGCAAGUCGAGCGAACAGAUGAGGAGCUUGCUCCUCUGACGUUAGCGGCGGACGGGUGAGUAACACGUGGAUAACCUACCUAUAAGACUGGGAUAACUUCGGGAAACCGGCGCUAAUACCGGAUAAUAUAUUGAACCGCAUGGUUCAAUAGUGAAAGACGGUUUUGCUGUCACUUAUAGAUGGAUCCGCGCCGCAUUAGCUAGUUGGUAAGGUAACGGCUUACCAAGGCAACGAUGCGUAGCCGACCUGAGAGGGUGAUCGGCCACACUGGAACUGAGACACGGUCCAGACUCCUACGGGAGGCAGCAGUAGGGAAUGUUCCGCAAUGGGCGAAAGCUUGACGGAGCAACGCCGCGUGAGUGAUGAAGGUCUUCGGAUCGUAAAACUCUGUUAUUAGGGAAGAACAAAUGUGUAAGUAACUAUGCACGUCUUGACGGUACCUAAUCAGAAAGCCACGGCUAACUACGUG